CGUAUUUUGAUUUUUACCAGUCGUUCAAGACAGACGGAUUCAGUCCCAUGGAAGCUAAAGUUUUUCAAAGACAUUUGUAGGGAGGACUUUGCAGCUAAUGAUUUCCUUAGGCUGAACCAAAACCUGCCAGACUAAAGUUGAUUUGGGAGGGAAAGACGUUGAAAACUCAAUCAUCUUGAC